UUCCACCAUGAUUGUAAGUUUCCUGAGGCUUCCGUCACCAUGUGAAACUUAAAGAAAAUGGACUUUACGUUGGUAAAGGUGAAACAACAUACAAAGAGAACUGAAACUUGAGAUGGUACUUGUAUGCCUGAGAGACCAAAAUGCUGAUUCAGUUUACCUUCCUGGAAACUGUAAAACUAACCAAUUAGAGGAUCAGGUCAUUGAGAAGAAGAAACUUGCCCAACCUAAAAUGCACCUCUUUAAGAGGACCCAGUAGGAGAGAUCUGCCCUUGAAAUGCUAAAAUGGGGAAAACAGCUUGAGAAUGUUAUGAGGCAAGACAGACUGACGUGAAAGAUAUUUUCAUCUCUGUGCACUUGGUGCCAACUCAAGGCCAAGUUAGGAAAACAGUCCACGAUGUACUGUAAAGUAAUACUGAAUGGAACAGGUGAGUUAAGAAUGGAGUAAGAAUGGAAAAGUGAGUCAGACAUAAAGUCACAACACCCUGAAUUUGUCCUCAAGAUAAUUAUCAGUGGCAUUAAUUGGCAAAUUUCUGUUACUAUUUAAUAGUAAACUAAUUAAUACUAGAAAUAUUUGCAUUUUGUGGAGAGAACAAAUGUUCUCAGUAUAAAACUAAAUGGGGAAGUGGAAUUUAGUUUCAAACUCUGACCCAUCUCUUAAAUCACUCAUUUCUAUUUCAAGCUGAAGGAGAGAAAAAAUAUUGUGCAUGAGACCUAUAAGAAUUUAGAGUGCUUAUCAGGAAAAGGAGAGUGUUCUGCUAAUAAGGGUUUUAUUUAAAUUUACUAAGGGAAAGUGUAUUUUCUGCUUCUAUGGCAAUUUUUCUGUAUGACUACUUUCUAACAAAAAUGAAAUCUUUCUGUCCAAAAUAGGUGAGUGCCUUAAAUGAGAGAGCCUAUAUCAUAGUCUUUGAUUGUUGAUCCUGUUUUUACAUGACCUUGGAACCAUCUCAGGUUCUUAAUUCUUAGCUUUUCCUUUACAUAACUAUAAAAAUGGAGAUGAUAAAAUGCUGAAAAGUUUUAAAUGUUUGUAUGUGUUUGUUUACUUUGUUCUGGGAUUCCCGAGUGGGCAUUUUUAUCUCUAUGAAAUAUUACUACACUGGGAACUUAAAAAUACAGGGGCAGAUUCAGGGGGCAAUGCCAUAAAAGUGAAGACAACCUUGAUGAAACAGAACUUUAAAAGUAUGAACUUUUAAACACUUUAAAGAUAUAUAUCUUAGAAUUAAGCUAAAAAACAUUUUUCUGAAUGUUGAUGAGGGUACAGAGCAAUAGAGCUUCUUAUAUACUGCCAGAGUGGCAUGUAGUGGUAACAUCUUUCUCGAAAGUAAUUUAUCAACAUGUGUCAAGAACUUUAAAAAUGUUUUUAAGCCAGGUGUGGUGGCUUAUGCCUGAAUUCUAGCACUUCAGGAGGCUAAGGCAGGUGGAUCACUUGA